rnacentral:rRNA from 1 species
AUUGAACGCUGGCGGCAGGCCUAACACAUGCAAGUCGAACGAGUGGCGGACGGGUGUGUAAUGUCUGGGAAACUGCCUGAUGGAGGGGGUUAACUUCUGACAACGGUAGCUAAUACCGCAUACCAUCGGAUGUGCCCAGAUGGGAUGAGCUAGUGGGUGGGGUAACGGCGCACCUAGGCGACGAGCCCUAGCUGGGCUGAGAGGAUGACCAGCCAACCUGGAACAGAGACACGGUCCAGAGUCCUACGGGAGGCAGCAGGGGGGAAGAUGGCACAAUGGGCGAAUGCCGGAUGCAGCCAUGCCGCGUGAAUGAAGAAGGCCUUCGGGUUGUAAAGUACUUGCAGCGGGGAGGCGUUAACUGUAGAAGAAGAACCGGCUAACUCCGUGCCAGCAGCCGCGGUAAUUC